CAACACGGCGAGACUCUGUCUCAAACAAACAAACAAACAAACACACAGAAAUACACUCCUGGGUGGAAAUAUAAGAUGCUAACGAGACAUGCAACAUAUGAACAAGCAUGUACAGCUACUGCGCAUAUGCACCCAGAAUACCACAGAGAACAUGUUUACUAGCAACUCCUCUUCCCUCCUCCUUAUUAAUAAUAAUGUAAAACUGCCAUAAAGGGGUUUCUCCAGCGACAGUCCACGCUGUCUCACUCUUAUGAGCAGUCAGCCCUGGAGUAUCUCUCUCAGGGUGUACUGUAUUCUGCACUUAACUUUCAAAUAUUUUCUUUUCCAAUAAAUUAUGCUGUACUUUUUUUCUUUGUGUCUCUUGUUUAAAUUCUUAAAAUCUAGGAAGACAAGAACAGAGGUAUCACAUCAGUUGUCAACACAGCAAUAAGUCAGCCUCCUUCUUGUAAGCAUAGCCCAUGCAGAAAAGGAGAGUCGCAUCACCUCGGUGCUGGAUCCAGAGGUGGGAUUGUGACAUACAUCUCUGCCCAGCUCCUGAGUGUUUUAGCUCUGUUUCCUGUGUCCAGCUCACAGAUGGGAUUCUGAUAUAUCACUGAAGCCAGCACCUAAAUGAUGUGACUCUUAUCUCCUGCCUUGGUGCUGCCCACAGGGGACAUUGGGACAUAUCACUUGGCCUUGCACCUAGGAUUUGUUUGGAAGGAGAUUGUGAUACAUUGGUGGGUCCAACUUCUCAGUGACAUUACUCUGUUGACUGUGCUCUGCAAGCAGAAAGCACUGUGACACAUUAUUGGGCCCAACACCAAGGUGAGUCUCCUGCCUGAAGCCUGCCUACAGCAAUUUGUAACAUAUGGCAUUGGGACAUAUCUCUGAGCCCAUCAACUAUUUGACAAGAUUCUCCUUUUUUAACAAAGGCUUUGCCCAUAGGAGAGAUUGUGACAUAAUUCUGAGCCCUGAAAAUAGGGGAUAUUUCUUUUGUUUUCUGCUUGAGCCCCACAUUGUGAUGUAUUUCUCCUCCCAACAACUGAGGGAAGGGAAAGUCCUGCCUGGGUCUUGCCUAUGGGGAGCCUUGUGAAAUCUUUCCGUGUUCAUCACCUUAAAUAUGUGACCCUCAUCUUCUGCCAUGGCCAUGUUUACAGAAGGGAGAGUGGGUUAUUCCUAGACCCAGCACACAGGUCAUGUGAUUCUGCAUCCUGGUGUCUCCAGAGGGGUCAUUUUGACAUAUCUCUAGACUCAUCAACUAGAUAAUGUAAUGCUCCUCUUCCCCCUGAAACCUAUCCAUAGUGGAGAUUGUGAAAUACAGCCUGGCACAGCACCUACAUGAUGGUACUCUCUUCUCAUGCUUGGGUGCUGGCCACAGGGGUGAUUAAGACUUAUAGCUGGGUACAGUCUUCAGGUGAUGUAACUCUCCUCUAUUUUUGGGCCCACACACACAGGGAACUACCAUAUAGCUCUGCUCCUCAGUCUUAGGUGAUGUGACUCUGCUGUCUGUUACCUCCUCUUAGGGGGAAUUGUGAUAUAUUGCUGGGCCCAGAACCGAGGUGAUGUGGCCUUUUCUCUUGCCUGGGCCCUGCAUACAUGGUGUACAGUAACAUAUAUCUGGGUUGAACACAUAGGUGAUGUGACUCUUCUGCAUAGGUCUUGCCAACAGGGGUAUUAUGACAUACUCUUCUAUUCAUUGCCUAGGCGAUGUGACUCUCCACUCUUACCUGGGCCCUUCCAAAAGAGGGGAUUGUGACAUAUCACUGACCCUAACACCAAGGUAAUGUGACUGUUCUCUUUUGCCUGGGUUUGCAUAUUUUGGGUAUUGUGACAUAUCCCUGGGCCCAACACUUAGGGAAUAAGAGGUUUAUUCCUCUACCUUACGUGCAGUGAAGCUUGUGACAUAUUUCUGCAUUCAUCACCAAGAAGAUGUGACUCUUCUGCCUGCAUCCUGACCACAGAGAGGAUUGUGAAAUAUUGCUAGAUCCAGCAUGCAGGUGAUGUGUCUCUGCUGCCUCGUUCCUAAUGUGAGGAGUGGAUUGCAACAUACCAAUGCCUGAACAU
rnacentral:lncRNA from 1 species